AGCAGCCGCGGUAAUUCCAGCUCCAAUAGCGUAUAUUAAAGUUGUUGCAGUUAAAAAGCUCGUAGUUGAAUUUCGGGAUCAAUAUUUCGGUCAUGCCGUUGGUAUGCACUGUUAUCAUUGAUUUCUCACCUUCUAAAGAACCGUAAUGCCAUUAAUUUGGUGUUACGGGGAAUUAGGACUGUUACCUUGAAAAAAUUAGAGUGUUUAAAGCAGGCUCACGCUUGAAUACAUUAGCAUGGAAUAAUGAAAUAGGACAUCCGAUUCUAUUUUGUUGGUUUCUAGGAUCGAUGUAAUGAUUAAUAGGGAUAGUUGGGGGCAUUAGUAUUCAAUUGUCAGAGGUGAAAUUCUUGGAUUUAUUGAAGACUAACUACUGCGAAAGCAUUUGCCAAGGAUGUUUUCAUUAAUCAAGAACGAAAGUUAGGGGAUCGAAGACGAUCAGAUACCGUCGUAGUCUUAACCAUAAACUAUGCCGACUAGGGGAUCGGA
rnacentral:rRNA from 1 species